UUCUUCUCUAAUAGCCGCACAAAUUCUCAUUUCUUCUCUCUACCUUCUCUCUCUCUAAAUGGAACUAUCCCCCACUGAAAUAGGCCUCCAUUGCUGCCGUCGGUGGAUGGCAGUAGCCACCAUUUCUACCUCAGUCUCGAACCAACAACAUCGUCUUACUUCUAAUUCUCAUAAAUUCUGUCAACGUGCUCUUCCCUACCCACCAUGUCAUCCGCUGCCUCCUGGCUAAACCUUUGCUAAAAAUCUUCAUAAUUUUUGACAUAUUCUUAUGAAUACGUCCCAGAAUAUGCCUCUUCGCAGAGAUAAUGCCCGUAGGAAUGACAACCAGCCACCUCAGCCGGUAGAUCCUUCAAAUGAAAAUGUGUCAUACGCAGAGUUCCAAGUAGUUUUUGAGGAGCUAGCCCAAGCGGUGAUAACUAAUAUUCAGGUUAAUCAUCAGGCUGCAGCCCUACCUCAGCAAGAUGGGGAUUCAUCCACAGCUAGGAUAAAAAAUUUCAUAAGAAUGAACCUGCCAGAAUUCUUUAGGUCAGUGGCAGGUGGGGACCCACAGUUUUAUCUUGAGGAGGUAAAGAAGAUCACCUAGAUUAUGUAUGUGUCUGAGGAGGAGAGUGUAGAAUUAGCAUCCUAUAGGCUGGAGGAUAUUGCUAAUGAUUGGGUAGUGAUGUGGAAGAAGAGUAGUGAGGAGGAUAUAGCUUCCAUGACUUGGCAAGUAUUUCAGGAUGCCUUCUUAGAUAAGUUUUUCCCAUUAGAUAUAAGGAAAGGUAAGCUGGAAGAGUUCAUGAACCUGAGGCAAGUCUCCAUAAUAGUAAAGGAGUAUUAUCUUAAGAUCAAUCAGUUGGCUAAGUAUACUUCUGACUUGAUAGCUGACCCUAGAGCUAGCAUGAGUAAGUUUGUGACUGGUGUAUCUGGGUUGGUGUUGAAGAAGUAUAGAACUGCUAUGCUCAAUAGAGACAUGGAUCUUGCUAGGUUAAUGAUACAUGCUCAAUAGAUAGAGGCAGAUAAAUCUAAAAAGAGAGAGAGAUCUAAUAAGAGAUCCAGAGUAGGUAGUUUUAACUUUUCUUAGGCUGGAUCACAGGGUGGUACUUGUUCUCAGCAUAGCCAGAAAUUUUUAGUCCCAGCUCUAUCCUCAGCCAGUGUACUCACACCAAAGUUUGGGGAUGUCAGCUAGGAUGGGGCGCCAGGAUCCAAAACCCAGGGUAGUGCAAGCAGUGUUCAUACCUAUCCAUUUUGUGGAGAGUAUGGCAAGAAUCACCUAGAUAUGUGUAAAGCAAACAAUCAGGAAUGCUUUGGAUGUGGUAAGCUAGGCUACAGAAUUCGUAAGUGUAGAGUGCUAGCUCAGUAGGGUAGAGAUUCGCAUCAGCAAAGCACCACUCCUAGUACCACUAGUGGUCAGUAUCUGAACCGACUCUAUGCACUUCAGACUCGCCAUGACCAGGAAAGUUUCCCUGACAUAGAUUUGGGUAAUCAACAUGGAAUGGGGUAAUUUUCGUUCAACACAUCUUCCAGUAACAGAAUACGACCAAAAUCUUGAUACUUCGAGUUUAAACCCCGAGGAACAGGUUCCUAAUUCUACCUUGAAAAUGAGUAAAAUAUUUGUGGACUUAUGUGACAUUAUCAACUCUCGUGAAACUCAUCUUUCUGCAGCGUGGAUUAUGGGAAUACUCAAGAUAUUAGGAAAAGACAUUUGAAAGAAUGAAGAGAAAUAGAGAUCUUUAGAUUGAUGAACGGACCAUCGGUUAUUGAUAGCGGUGUUGGCAUUGGGUUCAUGAAGGGACGGUCAGUUCACAUUCGACAAUCUGCUGGUUGCUAUUGAAAAAUAACCUGCUAGCGGCAUUGCAAAGCAUGCCUUCAACUAACCAGCAAUAUAGAAAAUCAGAGUUGCUACCUUCUAUAGGAGCAACAGCGAGACACAUUAGGUCUACAACAUGUACCAUUAUUAGUGUUUUUGUAUAGAUAGACAAAAUUGUUGGAUGGCCAAAGUUGUUACAGGCACUUGUUAGUAGCUUGGACAUUAGUGACAUAAAUCAUGUGGAAGGAGCCAUGGAUGCUUUAUCAAAGGUGCCAUUUCUCGGUUAUUUAACAUGAAUUUCAUUUGAUAGUCCCAUAGUAUACAGUGUGAAACUUGGCGUCAAUGCCAAUAUAGCAAAUUGUUGUAUAAAUACAAUGAGAAACAACUAUUGUGUUCAUCAAAUGAGACCAUUAAGAUUGAUAAAUUAUAUGUGCAACGUAUGUUGUAAGGGUUAAUGAUA